AGAGUUUGAUCCUGGCUCAGGAUGAACGCUGGCGGCGUGCCUAAUACAUGCAAGUCGAACGAGGCCCAAUGUACUUGUACAGAGGUGUCCUAGUGGCGAACGGGUGAGUAACGCGUUGGUGACCUGCCCCGAAGUGGGGGAUAACAGUUCGAAAGGACUGCUAAUACCCCAUGUGACUGUGAGAGUUAGAGGUCUCACUAUCAAAGGAGUAAUCCGCUUCGGGAGGGGCCUGCGUCCCAUCAGCUAGUUGGUAAGGUAAUGGCUUACCAAGGCUUAGACGGGUAGGGGACCUGAGAGGGUGACCCCCCACACUGGAACUGAAACACGGUCCAGACACCUACGGGUGGCAGCAGUAGGGAAUAUUGCACAAUGGGCGAAAGCCUGAUGCAGCAACGCCGCGUGCACGAUGAAGGCCUUCGGGUUGUAAAGUGCUUUUAUGAGGGAAGAGAAAGGACUGUACCUCAUGAAUAAGGAUCGGCUAACUACGUGCCAGCAGCCGCGGUAACACGUAGGAUCCGAGCGUUAUCCGGAUUUACUGGGCGUAAAGCGCGUGCAGGUGGUCUAUUAAGUUGGAUGUUAAAUCUCCUGGCUUAACUGGGAGUUGUCGUUCAAAACUGGUAGACUAGAGGACGGUAGAGGAAGGUGGAAUUCCGGGUGUAGUGGUGAAAUGCGUAGAUAUCCGGAGGAACAUCAGUGGCGAAGGCGACCUUCUGGACCGCUCCUGACACUCCAACGCGAAAGCUAGGGGAGCAAACGGGAUUAGAAACCCCGGUAGUCCUAGCUGUAAACGAUGUGAACUUGGUGUCGGUGGGGUAAAACCUAUCGGUGCCGAAGCCAACGCGAUAAGUUCACCGCCUGGGGACUACGGCCGCAAGGUUAAAACUCAAAGGAAUUGACGGGUGCCCGCACAAGCAGCGGAGCGUGUGGUUUAAUUCGAGGCUACACGAAGA
rnacentral:rRNA from 1 species